rnacentral:lncRNA from 1 species
AGAAGGGCUGCCCUAUGGCUGCUGCCUCCCACAACCAAAUCAUUUUUCUGGGAACCUGGGGAUCAUCUUGGCUCUGCCUAUCACAGCCAGUGCCUGCACGCCCUGCUCCGGCAUCCCCCUAGUGCCUGAGCACGCCAUCCUCCUGUACCCUACUCCAUUACGAUGUGAUUCCUUCGUGUUAAAACUGUGUACCUUGCCCUACUAACUUUGGAUCUGGCCAAUGGAAUAUAAGGAGAUUUGACCUGUGCUGCUGUGAUUAACAGACAUCAGAGGCAUGAAAAACAACAGUAACUAGAUGAAGCAAGGACCACCCUUCUGGACAACAAAGGGAGAGGAAUGAAAGUCUGACCUAGGAAAAGACGGAGUCUCGCUGUGUUGUCCAGGAUGGAGUGCAGUGGUGCUUUCUCAGCUCACUGCAACCUCUGCCUCCCAGUUCAAGCAAUUCUUCUGACUCAGCCUCCUGAGUAGCUGGGAUUACAGGCACCUGCUACCACACCAUGCUAAUUUUUGUAUUUUUAGUAGAGACGGGGUUUCUCCAUGUUGGCCUGGCUGGUCUCGAACUCCUGACCUCAGGUGAUCCACCUGCCUCGGCCUCUCAAAAUGCUAGGAUUACAGGUGUGAGCCACCACACCUGGCCAACUUAUCCUUUUUUUAACAUCUAGUUUUCUGUGAGUGUUUUCUAAUGUGCACUGUAGACGGACAUAGUGGUAUGUGAUUACUAUUCAUAGAUAAAUAAUAAUUUGUUUAUUAUUGUGUAAUAAACAUUGUGUGAUAAAGAAUUUGGCUGACCUUUGUU